AGUGCUGCGAUAAAAUUUAUUCAUUUUGAAAAAAAAUUCACUUCAUUCAGUUCGGUGUAAUUUUCCAAGCUAGUUGUUCACGAGUAAAUGUGUAAAAAGCUAGAGGAUUAGAAUCACAUAAACCGAACCAUUGAGCAUAUUUCAGUAUGAAUACAAUAGUUUUCAAAAUGUUACUUUUUUUUAUGGUAAUAAUUGCCAUGGUCUUGGCUUAUAAAGGAGAAAUAUCGAAAGUUGGAGAUAAAGUGGAUGAUAGUUCCAAGGAUCCAAGAGCUCUGAAUCAAGGAGGUUUUUUUUAAUCGACAAAAACCAAAUAACAAUGAGCUUAAAAUUGUUUUUCGUUGAUGACAUUUCACAAUAAAAAUUUCCAAUAAUA